rnacentral:rRNA from 1 species
AGGACGAACGCUGGCGGCGUGCCUAACACAUGCAAGUGGAGCGACGAACCAGGCUUCGGCCUGGGGCAAAGCCGCGAACGGGUGAGUAACACGUGGGUAACCUGCCUCGAUGAUUGGGACAACCCGAGGAAACUCGGGCUAAUACCGGAUGUGCCCGCAAGGGGAAAGGAAGCUUCGGCCUCCGCAUCGAGAUGGGCCCGCGGCCCAUUAGCUUGUUGGUGAGGUAACGGCUCACCAAGGCGACGAUGGGUAGCUGGUCUGAGAGGACGAUCAGCCACACUGGGACUGAGACACGGCCCAGACUCCUACGGGAGGCAGCAGUGGGGAAUUUUGGACAAUGGACGCAAGUCUGAUCCAGCCAUGCCGCGUGCGGGAGAAGGCCUCGGUGUAACGCUUUGUCAGGAGAAAGCUCCGAACUAAUAUUUGGGUGAUGACGGUACCUGAAGAAUAAGCACCGGCUAACUACGUGCCAGCAGCCGC